UACGGAGGAUGCGAGCGUUAUCCGGAUUUAUUGGGUUUAAAGGGUGCGUAGGCGGCGAGUUAAGUCAGCGGUAAAAGCCCGGGGCUCAACCCCGGCCCGCCGUUGAAACUGGCUGGCUUGAGUUGGGGAAAGGCAGGCGGAAUGCGCGGUGUAGCGGUGAAAUGCGUAGAGAUCGGGAGGAACACCAGUGGCGAAGGCGGCCUACUGGGCUCUAACUGACGCUGAGGCACGAAAGCGUGGGUAGCAAACAGG
rnacentral:rRNA from 1 species